AGCGAACGCUGGCGGGAGGAGGAACACAUGCAAGUCGAGCGGGCAUCCUUGUGGUGUCCGCGGCAGACGGGUGAGUAACGCGUGGGAACGUGCCCUUCGGUUCGGAAUAACUCAGGGAAACUUGAGCUAAUACCGGAUACGUGCGAGAGCAGAAAGGUUUAUCUGCCGAAGGAUCGGCCCGCGUCUGAUUCGCUAGUUGGUGAGGUUACGGCUCACCAAGGCGACGAUCAGUAGCUGGUCUGAGAGGAUGAUCAGCCACACUGGGACUGAGACACGGCCCAGACUCCUACGGGAGGCAGCAGUGGGGAAUAUUGGACAAUGGGGGCAACCCUGAUCCAGCCAUGCCGCGUGAGUGAUGACGGCCUUAGGGUUGUAAAGCUCUUUUCUCCGGGACGAUAAUGACGGUACCGGAGGAAUAAGCCCCGGCUAACUUCGUG
rnacentral:rRNA from 1 species